rnacentral:rRNA from 1 species
ACCUGCGGAAGGAUCAUUACUGUAAGGGAACAAUGGAGUCUUGAGACUGCGCUUCAACAAUGAAGUGUGUGCUCGACUCUUAAUACUCUUCAUCCACACACACCUUUUGUGCACCAUGUGGGGGGACACCUCCAGGUGUCUCCCCCUUCUUUUUGAUAAUAACAACCAAGUUUUAUGCAUGGCUUUUAUUUGACUCUAUGGAGUUAAAAAAACAACUUUCAACAACGGAUCUCUUGGCUUUCGCAUCGAUGAAGAACGCAGCGAACGUGCGAAACGUAAUGUGAAUUGCAGAAUUCAGUGAAUCAUCGAAUCUUUGAACGCAUCUUGCGCUCCUUGGUAUUCCGAGGAGCAUGCCUGUUUGAGUGUCGUGAACUACUCUCAACCCUCACUCUUUUUGUGAUGGGGGUUGGAUAUGGAUGCUGCUGUGGGGCAACACGGCUCGUCCUAAUUGCAUUAGCGAUCUAUCCUGGGUCACACAAUGUGAUAAAAAAGAAAGCAUUGUUGGGGUUCGGGUCGAGAUGGCUUCUAACUGUCGAAAGACGAAACAUAACAUGUCAUUUGACCUCAAAUCAGGUAGGAUUACCCGCUGAACUUAAGCA